rnacentral:sRNA from 1 species
GAGACUUCCACCAGCUUCACUCUUGGGUCCCAAAUAAAUUGCAAAACAGGAAUAUGUUUGCCGAGCUUGAACGCUAUAUGCCACGCAUUGCAAGGGAGAAGUAGGGAGGGAGAUUGCCCGUCCGUAGCUUUAUAUCAAGUCUUGUAUGACAACCUCUCAAGAGCAGAAAAUAUAAUCACGUUUCCGAAAGGAAAUAAGUUAACUCGGGGGCGAUGCGAAUUCUUCUCAUGAGGGCUCUCUGUUCCACUUUAUCUCAGUGCCGAAUUAUCCACUGGUUUCAGCAACACAGUUAUCUGUCUUCCUAAGCAGAUGGUGAUGAGGGAUGCCAAUAGCUAACUAGUUAGUAGAUAAACGUCCCUCCCCAUCAGCUAUUUAUUGGCUUAACUUCUUUUCGCUUUUCUUUUUCACACAAGCAACAGAGAACACCGCCACACUUCACCCAUUUUCGAUUGGGAUGAGCA